rnacentral:rRNA from 1 species
UACGUAGGGUGCAAGCGUUGUCCGGAAUUAUUGGGCGUAAAGAGCUCGUAGGCGGCUUGUCGCGUCGUCCGUGAAAACCUGCGGCUCAACUGCAGGCUGGCGGUCGAUACGGGCAGGCUGGAGUUCGGUAGGGGAGACUGGAAUUCCUGGUGUAGCGGUGAAAUGCGCAGAUAUCAGGAGGAACACCGGUGGCGAAGGCGGCGUUCUGGACUGUAACUGACACUGAUGAACGAAAGCCAGGGGAGCAAACGGG